rnacentral:lncRNA from 1 species
AUGUCAUUCAUACACCGCCUCCUUGGAAAACCUAUCAGAGACCAGAAAGAACGAGGAGGAGGAGAAAGAACUCAACACAACACAGCAGAUACCAAGGACACCGAUUAUAACAGUUGCAGGGGAGAUGAGGAUCACCUGUUCCAAUUAGGAAGCGGGAGAUUAAGUAUUCUGGUUGCCAGAAUGAGAGAGAGGUGGAGAAGUGACAUCAUUUCCACCUGCUGUUGGAUUGCCUCAUUGAUUGGAUCUGUCAGUUGCGGUUUUUCUUGGACUUUUUCAAGUUGUGGUUUAAUGUUGUGGUAUAUUAUGUAAAUUCCCUAAAAUUAAAUAAUACAUUUGGGUGUUAUUCUGAGAUUUUUCGUGGAUGCUUCCUUUGUUUGUUGCAGUCACGAGCCGACAGUAACAUCAAGGCUGAGUUGAAGUUGAUGGUCCUUUAUCCAGCAAGAAAUGACUGCACGGCAAGCUGAGAUGUGAGCAACUAUCAUCAGAUCAUCAGGAUAGAAUGAGAGGUAGUGUUGAGUGUCAUCAACAUAACCAUGGUAUGAAAAGCCAUGUUUCUGAAUGACAGAACCUAAUGAUGCCAUGCAGACAGAGAAGAGAAGUGGUCCAAGAACUGAACCCGGAGGCACCCCAGUAGUUAGAUGUUGCGACUUGGACACCUUACCUCUCCAAGAUACUUUGAAGGAUCUAUCUGAUGAGGUAAGACUCAAACCACUGGAGUGCAGCUCAUGAAAUACCCUUUGCCAGUAGGUUUGACAUGAGUUCUAGUGAUUAACCAUGCCAAAAGCACUUGAUAUGAUAUCAAUUAUUUAUCAUUGUUAUUUUUGAUUAAAUGCUUUAUAUACUAUUUUAUUUCAUUCAAAUGAUUCAUGAUAAAUCAUAAUAUUGAGCAAUUGUCAAUAUAUUCCUUUGAUGAGAUUCUCAUGUUUGAUCAUCAGUGCCUUGACAUGACCCUUGCCUUCAUGUUUCACUAUUGCUCACUAUCUGAAAAUGUUCUGGGCUUGUCUUAAAGCUAUCAGUUCCUCGACUCUAAUGCAAUCAUAUGGAGCAGAGGAUUGUAGUCAAAUCAAUGCAUAUUCUUCUUCUUGUAAUGUGUUGUUUCUAUGUUGCAGCAUGCCCUCUACAAUAUGGUCACAUCAGGCUAAUCAUAUUGCAGCAGGUCGAGAUAAAUUAAUAAUAACAUGAGUGGAAUGCAUAAUUAUUAAGGAAAGGCUUUUGAAUUUUUGUGGAAAUUGUGGAUCUAUAAUUAAUUGAUCUAAAGUAGCCUCUGGCACUCAUUUAACUACACAGAUAUGGAUUCAAAUUGAAUAGCAUACUGUACAUGAUGAAGCUCUUUUUGAAACUGUGUGUCCAAGGAAACAUUAAAAUGGAAAUUGCACAAAAAAAUGCAAAACUAGCCGGACUAGCAGAAAACAGCUGGAAAUUAAAUGGGAAAAAAAGCUAUUCUUCCAAGGUAGGAACUAGAACUUGGAUUGGGAAAAGCAGUAAUAAAUCUGACUGUGUGAAUAUUAUGCAGCUAGUUAUCUUUCUGUCUUGGAUUUGUCUUUUUGAAUGAAUUUUUAAAUAUUGCAUAUGCUGCAUGAGUUAUCAGUCAAUCUUUGUUACUCUGGCAAAAUCAAAUAUGGAUUUUGGCUGGAUAAUCUUGAAUUCCAAUUUACGGGCACAGCUAUAGAGUAAAAAAGCUCAAAUGAAGUGAAGGCUAAUCCAUCUCUGAUGUUCUCUCGGAAGAAACUCUCUCUUGUGGUGUUGCCUCGAGAUAUAGCGCAUGAGACCUUUUUA